rnacentral:rRNA from 1 species
AUUGAACGCUGGCGGCAUGCUUUACACAUGCAAGUCGAACGGCAGCAUGGGUGCUUGCACCUGAUGGCGAGUGGCGAACGGGUGAGUAAUGUAUCGGAACAUAUCCGCAAGUGGGGGAUAACGUAGCGAAAGUUACGCUAAUACCGCAUAUUCCCUGAGGGGGAAAGGAGGGGAUCCGCAAGGACCUUUCGCUUACGGCGUGGACGAUAUCAGAUUAGCUAGUUGGUGAGGUAAAGGCUCACCAAGGGUUCGAUCUGUAGCGGGUCUGAGAGGAUGAUCCGCCACACUGGGACUGAGACACGGCCCAGACUCCUACGGGAGGCAGCAGUGGGGAAUUUUGGACAAUGGGGGCAACCCUGAUCCAGCCAUGCCGCGUGAGUGAAGAAGGCCUUCGGGUUGUAAAGCUCUUUCGGCUGGAAAAAAAUCGCUUCACCUAAUACGUGGAGUGGAUGAUGGUACCAGCAGAAGAAGCACAGGCUAACUACGUGCCAGCAGCCGCCGUAA